UACGUAGGGGGCAAGCGUUGUCCGGAUUUAUUGGGCGUAAAGAGCGUGUAGGCGGCCAAGCAGGUCAGUUGUGAAAACUCGAGGCUCAACCUCGAGACGUCGAUGGAAACCAUCUGGCUAGAGUCCGGAAGAGGAGAGUGGAAUUCCUGGUGUAGCGGUGAAAUGCGCAGAUAUCAGGAAGAACACCCGUGGCGAAGGCGGCUCUCUGGGACGGUACUGACGCUGAGACGCGAAAGCGUGGGGAGCGAACAGG
rnacentral:rRNA from 1 species